UGAGCAUUAGAAGACUAAAACUUGUCUGUGGUGAUAUUAUUGGAGCUUUGUGGCAAACCAAGCCUGAAUCCUGAAAUCUCUGGACUUUGCAGUUAUGUGAAAUAAGAUAUUUCCUUAAUUUUCAAUCAAGGAGGAAGAAAGGAAAAGUUUUUAUUCGUGCUUGAUUCUCUUUGCACUGCUGCUGGAGUGGUGGUGGCAUGGAGUAAGAGAUCCCCAGGGAGACAUUCAGGAAUCGAUGAUCAAGGUCAUGUGGACCAGGAGCCCUUCCUUAUCAGGAGAUUCAUCUUGCAGAUUACACCUUGUGUUUCAGAAGAGAGACUGGAUUGCAAGAGUUCAAUAAAUUUCUAUUUGGGAAAUCAUAGCAUCAUAGAACAUAUCAAGGCCCAAGAUUACUAAAAGAAACCCCUGCAAGUUUUCCAAAGUCGCUGUACUCUCUCAUGCUUCCACUUGCAUCUUUGGGAAUUCCAGUUGGUCCACAUGGUCUCUACACUU